CUCCAACACAGUUACCUUGAUUUGCAUUUCUCUUUUGCCCGCUUGCAAGCGCGCCCCCCUCAGCAGAGCACCUUUCAACCCACUGUUAGUCCUUGUAAGAAUUGUAAGAAGCCUUACAACAACCUAACAAACCAAAUCCACCUGCAGAAAACGCCGUCGUUCCCUUCUAGUAACAAAGAAAGCGCUCUGCCCUUGCUCCUGAGCCUGAUCCCUGCCUCCACCUGCAGGGCUUGGCUAUCCUGGCAGUGUUCGCGGGCCACUAAAUGAAAUCUAGAAGACAGAGACAAAAAGAGACAGACGAGUGGCACUAAUACUUCUUCAUCGGUGGGAAUCUCAACAGAAAGUGUUGUGCUAAAGGUGUGAGGUUCAGGGAACACCUCUCUCGGGGCAAAAGAGGUAGUAUGGAAGGUUUGGUUACGGCAUGCUGACUAGAAGAAGAGAAAUGACUGUUAUCUCCUAUUUUUUUCUUUCAGUCUCUCUCGUCGUGUAGAUCUGAGGAUGACCAAAGCCUGUCGCCCCAAGCAUUGCUGAACCCAUCAAAAUGGUUGCUCGGAGGUAUUGCACCGACACAUCUCACAGAAGAACUCUGUAACCUAAAUGCCAAGGGAAGAAGAAAGGGGAACGGCUAACAUUCAUUACCUCCCGUAAACUGAUAGUCGUUGGCUUCUUGUCCCAUCCAAAUCCUGGCAAGCAGGAGAACAAAGAUUUAGUGAUGUUUACAACUGUGCUAGGGCUUACUGGAUACAACCAAGCACUCAAGGCUGAGCACGCUCUCCUAUCCCUUUCCCAAUUCUAGAAAUACCCAGAAGAGCUCCGUGUCCUCCUGCUUUCAUUUCCUUACAUGAGCCGUUUUCAAAUGCGUGUUGUUAUAGGCUGACACGAGAUCUAGGGCCUAAAGCCACAGCCACAGAGGUCGACAGCGGCCCCAGGGCCUCAAUCCCCAUCUACAUCUACAGCCAGACAGGCCGGCAGCAGCUCUGGGGCUUAAAGCCAAAGCCAGAGAAGCUGGCAAGGUCCCUGGGACAUAAAUCCACAGCCGGAGAGGCUGGCACCAGCCCCGUGCCCUAAAAACACAGGCAGAGAGACCGGCAUUGGGCCCAGGGCUUGAAACCACAGCCACAACCCAAGAGGCCAGCACGGGCCCUGGGGUCUAAAGCCACAAAAAAAGAGGCCAGCACUGAGCCCAGGCCCUAAAGCCACAGCCUGAGAGGCUGACACCGGCCAUGGGGCUUAAAGCCAAAGCCACAGCCAGACAGGCCGAAAAAGGCCCUGGGGACUAAAGGCACAGCUUGAAAGGCUUGAAACAGUCCAGGGCCUUAAAGCCACAGCCACACUUAGAGAGGCCGGCACCUGAAGCCCCAACUAGCGAGGCCAGCACCGGCCCCAGGGCCCGAAGUCACAGCCAGAGAGGCCUACGCCAGCCCCAGGGCCUGAA
ensembl:lncRNA